GCUCUCGUAGCUCAGUUGGUUAUAGCACCCGCUUAGUAAGCAGAGGUUUUGAGUUCGAUUCUCAAUAAGAGUA
rnacentral:tRNA from 1 species